AGCCCAUGGAAUAGUGAGAAACAUUUGUUGAAAGUACACAUCAUUUACCCUAUUUUAAGUAUUUUUGUCCUAUAAAAAUAUGGUAGUAUUUGAAAUAUUCAACAAUAAACAAAAUCUACUUUGAAUUUACAGUCUGAAAAGUUAAUUUCCAAAAAUAUCACCCAUUCAAGUUUAUCUGGCACAGACACAUCUGCCAUAUUUAACAGAAGCACAGGCCCGAGAUCACAGCUGGGAACAGCAGCACUGAGCUCCUCUCCAGCAACAGGCAGUGCUGGCCAUGCGAGGCUCCUCCAGGGAAGCUUGCUGGGGCCCCACCUCCCUCCCAAUCUCCAAUCACAGCUGGGCUGGGCCUUCAGAGAAGACCGGUGAGGACUGCCCAACCAACGCCAACCAACACUGGGAGUUAGGCUACUUCUCUACCCACCAGUGCCCCAGGCCUUCACUGUAGCAGACCAGUGAGGACUGCCCAGCCAAUGUGAGGAGCUAAGCAGCUUCCCCAUCCUCUAGUGCCCCAGGCCUUCAUCAGAGCAGACCAGUGAGGGCUUC
rnacentral:lncRNA from 1 species